rnacentral:tRNA from 1 species
UUUGGCUUAGUUGGUUAAAGCGCCGGUCUAGCGAAUACGGAAUCGUGGGUUCAAAUCCCUCCAAAA